GAAGAAGGAAUAUGCGUGCACAUGGCCACUUCCCAUAGGUUUUACCCCAGAUUUUCAUGAGCAGCUGUCCUAGUGAAAGUCAAGUCUGUUUUAGAAUUGCUUCGGUGUUACUUCACAUCAUCCAUUAAAAAUUUGAUGCCUGGAACAAGU